rfam:Pteropus alecto contig41121, whole genome shotgun sequence.
GUCUACGGCCAUGCCACCCUGAACAAGCUCGAUCCCGUCUGAUCUCAGAAGCUAAGCAGGUUCGGGCCUGGUUAGCACUUGGAUGGUAGACCACCUAGGAAGAUCAGGUGCUGUAGGUG